AGUGAACGCUGGCGGUAGGCCUAACACAUGCAAGUCGAACGGCAGCACAGUAAGAGCUUGCCCUUACGGGUGGCGAGUGGCGGACGGGUGAGGAAUACAUCGGAAUCUACUUUUUCGUGGGGGAUAACGUAGGGAAACUUACGCUAAUACCGCAUACGACCUACGGGUGAAAGCAGGGGAUCUUCGGACCUUUCGCGAUUGAAUGAGCCGAGGUCGGAUUAGCUAGUUGGCGGGGUAAAGGCCCACCAAGGCGACGAUCCGUAGCUGGUCUGAGAGGAUGAUCAGCCACACUGGAACUGAGACACGGUCCAGACUCCUACGGGAGGCAGCAGUGGGGAAUAUUGGACAAUGGGCGCAAGCCUGAUCCAGCCAUACCGCGUGGGUGAAGAAGGCCUUCGGGUUGUAAAGCCCUUUUGUUGGGAAAGAAAAGCAGCAGGUUAAUACCCCGCUGUUCUGACGGUACCCAAAGAAUAAGCACCGGCUAACUUCGUG
rnacentral:rRNA from 1 species